CCCGCUGAACUUAAGCWUAUCAAUAAGCGGAGGAAAA
rnacentral:rRNA from 1 species